CGCAAGCCUGACGGAGCAAGACCGCGUGCGGGAUGACGGCCUAAUGGUUGUAAACCGCUUUUCUCUGGGAAGAUGAUGACGGUACCAGAGGAAUCAGCCUCGGCUAACUCCGUGCCAGCAGCCGCGGUAAUACGGAGGAGGCAAGCGUUAUCCGGAAUUAUUGGGCGUAAAGCGUCCGUAGGUGGUUAUUCAAGUCUGCUGUCAAAGCGUGGGGCUUAACUCCAUAGAGGCAGUGGAAACUGGAUGACUUGAGUGCGGUAGGGGUCGAGGGAAUUCCCAGUGUAGCGGUGAAAUGCGUAGAUAUUGGGAAGAACACCAGUGGCGAAAGCGCUCGACUGGGCCUGCACUGACACUGAGGAACGAAAGCUAGGGGAGCG
rnacentral:rRNA from 1 species